rnacentral:tRNA from 1 species
GCGCCCGUAGCUCAGUGGAUAGAGCGUCUGUCUUCGGAACAGAAAGUCGGCGGUUCGAAUCCGUCCGGGCGUACCA